rnacentral:rRNA from 1 species
GACGAACGCUGGCGGCGUGCCUAAUACAUGCAAGUCGAACGCAGUGGGGACGGGUGAGUAACACGUGGGUAACCUCCCAUCAGAGGGGAUAACACUUGGAAACAGGUGCUAAACCGAUACUGAUGGAUGGACCCGCGGUUCAUUAGCUAGUUGGUGAGGUAACGGCUCCCCAAGGCCACGCUGCAUAGACGACCUGAGAGGGUGAGCGGACACACUGGGACUGAGACACGGCCCAGACUCCUACGUGAGGCAGCAGUAGGGAAUCUUCGGCAAUGGAAGAAAGUCUGACCGAGCAACGACGCGUGAGUGAAGAAGGUUUUCGGAUCGUAAAACUCUGUUGUUAGAGAAGCGGUAUCUAACCAGAAAGCCACGGCUAACUACGUGCCAGCAGCCGCGGUAAUAC